ACCCACUCCGUAAUUCAUUACUUUUUCCUAACCCAUCGCCCUCGAACCCGUCUUCGCCAUCGAUGUCAAUCUCACCUUCGCCGCAUCACCGUUCCCUCACCUCACUUUCGCAACCUCACCCUCACUCUCGUCUCUCAGCCUCAAUUCUCUUUCUCCUUCAUCUUCAUUCUCGCCAUUCUCUCUGUUUCUCUCCCAAAUCAGAGGAACCCUAAUCAGCUUCCUUCGUUUCUCAUUUCUUAAUUUCUCUUUCAAAUCGCAGGAACCCUAACCUAUAUCUGGCAUGUCCUAAGCGUAAUUGCUACUUUACCAAAGUAUUACUCAAAGGUUUUCCCACCUAGCAACACUCUUGGAGUAACCAUUUUGGAUAUGUGUAGCAGUUGGACAAUUGAGGAAGCUUUUUCAGGUGGAUUAUGCUGAUUACAUGUUAGCUGUAUGCGGCAAUGAGGCCCUUAGGGAGCUUUCAUCUCCUGGGAAAAGUGGAAGCUUUUUCUAUUUGACACAAGAUGAUAGAUUUAUGAUAAAGAUAGUAAAAAAAUCCAAAGUCAAGUUGUUUCAAGUGAUGUUGAAGGUUGUAAACAAUUGGUUGAUGGAAAAGUGAGAGUGGGACAGUUAGAGGCACCAAGUACUGAUGGUGAUGCUGGAAGAUCAAGUUCAAAGAAGGAGAAGAAUAUGACUGGGAAUAAUGUGUGCACAGAAAGAGAGGAUCCUUCAGAGUUCAUCACUCAUAGAGCUAAAGAUUUUUUGUCUAGCAUUAAGGAUAUUGAGCAUCGGUUCAUUCGAGCUUCAGAAUCUGGUAGGGAGGUUUCAAGGCUGUUAGAGGCAAAUAGAAUCAAGGCUGGAUUUUCUGAGGCAAAAGGGAAGUCGUCGACAAUGGCUUUGAUCACGGCUAUCCAGCCUGUCUGAUGCCGUAGAAAGGCGUCACCUGUUUUCUAGGAACCUGUACAAAAAAUUAUUAGUUGGAAAAGGACAGCAUCUUUUCGAUCAUCCUUGUCUAGGAACCCUUUGGCUUCAAAAUCAAGGGAAGACAUUGAUGAUAGUGGAAGUGAUUUCGUUGAAGAAUUCUACAUGAUUGCUGGAAGCCAUUCAUCCACCCUUGACAGAUUGUAUGCGUGAGAGCGAAAACUGUAUGAUGAAGUUAAGGCUAGUGAAUCCAUCAGGAAGGACUAUGAUCGAAAAUGUCACCAGCUUAGGCAUCAAUUUGCAAAAGACCAAGGUACUGAAGUGAUUGACAAGACUAGGGCGACUGUGAAGGAUCUGCAUUCGCGAAUAAGAGUCGCUAUUUAUUCUGUCGAUUCGAUAUCUAAAAGAAUUGAAAAAAUGAGGGAUGAAGACUUGUGUCCACAACUUCUGGAAUUAACAGAGGGAUUGGUCAGGAUGUGGAAGGCUAUGCUUGAAUGUCAUCAUGCACAAUACAUUACCACAACACAUUCUUUGUUGACUUUAGCGUCGACCUUCCGACGCAACUAUUUUCCCCAGCUGACGUGGCAACAGACAUUUUUAGUGUGAGAUGUUUCAAUUUUAUAGAUAGCGUCGGUGUAGCAUAGGCCUGGCCGACGCUAAUAUAGUGUUGGAUGGCGUUUGGCCAACGCUAGUCAUUAGCUUCGACCGUUUUAGCCUAGGUCUGACACCGACGCUAAUCCGACGCUAAAUCGCCAUUAGCGUCGGCUUUUAGCCUAUUAGUGUUGGUUUUGAGCCGACGCUAAAUCCUAUUUUUCUAGUAGUGCCCAUCGCAUGGUUGGAAAAGAAACAUUGUUCAAUACCUUAGGAGAAGUUUUACAUCAUACUCCGAUCCCUAUCGGCCAUGUUAAAGGGUCACCCGUGAUUGCUUUUGAACCACUUGCACCAUUUUCUAUCCCCGACAACGAUGGAGAUAUGAAGUUUUUGGGAGAAGCAAUAGGUAGUUACGUGACAUGGCCCGAAAAUCUUGUUGGCAUAGAUACGAUAUGUUUAAUUGCAAUGCAUGUUUAAUUGUAUGAUUAUGAUUGAUUAUGUUUAAUUGCUGAUUUUUCCACUGUUAACGUUAAUUUCACAUUUAUUUAGAUUAUUACAAAGUCUAAAGGGAAUGAUAAAAAAAUUCCUUAUAAUGAAUCAGUCACUUCACCAAAAAAGGUUUGACAUAUACAUCAAUUGAAUAUGAAAUGAUUAGCUUACUAUAAUAACUAACAAAUUGAUCAAUCUCAUUUUUUCAAAUUCAAGCAAAACCCGCCGCACCACAGAUCUGCCAGAAAUCAGCCGCACCGCAAAUGCAGGUUCGUGGUAAAAAUAAAUCUUGAAAAAUUCAAGGGUAUACUUUUGGAAAAUAAAGAGAAGGAUAAAUUGUUUCUUGCGCCAUAUAAUUCAGGGCAACAUUGGGUGUUGUUUGCCAUCAAUGCCACAUCUGAAAUUGUAUACUAUUUAGAUCCACUGCACGGUUAUUAUAACAAUUACUCGGAUAUAAAGAAUAUCUUCGAUAAAUACUAUAUAUUGCGAUUCAUGAAGGAGAUUGUUGAUAUGAAUCAAAAUAUAAUUCCAG